rnacentral:tRNA from 1 species
GGGCGAUUUGCAGGGGAAAUCGCUUAUUUUCUGUGCUUUAGAUUUUUCCGCUGCUUCUUACACACGGUAGAAGUCACAGGUUCAAAUCCUGUAUCGCCCA